rnacentral:rRNA from 1 species
GACGAACGCUGGCGGCGUGGAUUAGGCAUGCAAGUCGAACGGUAUCAUCCUUUCGGGGGUGAGAGAGUGGCGAACUGGUGAGUAACACGUAGGUUAUCUACCCUCAAGACGGGGACAACCCAGGGAAACUUGGGCUAAUACCGGAUGUGAGCAACUUUUAGUUGUUUGAAAGGUGGCGUAAGCUGUCGCUUGGGGAUGAGCCUGCGUCCUAUUAGUUAGUUGGUGAGGUAACGGCUCACCUAGGCAAUGAUAGGUAGGCGGCCUUAACGGGUGGUCGCCCACACUGGGAUUGAGAUACGGCCCAGACUCCUACGGGAGGCAGCAGUCGAGAAUAGUCUACAAUGGCCGAAAGGCUGAUAGUGCGACGCCGCGUGAACGAAGAAGCCCUUCGGGGUGUAAAGUUCUUUUAUAUGUGAGCAGUGCUUUCUAUGUGAACAGCAUGGGGAGAGAGAUAUUAGCAUAUGAAUAAAGCAACGGCUAACUCCGUGCCAGCAGCCGAC